rnacentral:rRNA from 1 species
CCUACGGGCGGCUGCAGUGAGGAAUAUUGGUCAAUGGCCGGAAGGCUGAACCAGCCAUGCCGCGUGAGGGAUGAAGGUCUUCGGAUCGUAAACCUCUGUCAGCAGGGAAGAACGGUCACUGUGCUAAUCAGCAGUGAAUUGACGGUACCUUCAAAGAAAGCACCGGCUAACUCCGUGCCAGCAGCCGCGGUAAUACGGAGGGUGCGAGCGUUAAUCGGAAUUACUGGGCGUAAAGGGCUCGUAGGCGGUAUGUCAAGUCAAGGGUGAAAUCCCCGGGCUCAACGUGGGAACUGCCUUUGAAACUGGCAAACUUGAGUGUGUGAGAGGAUAGUGGAAUUCCAGGUGUAGGAGUGAAAUGCGUAGAUAUCUGGAGGAACAUCAGUGGCGAAGGCGACUAUCUGGAACAUAACUGACGCUGAGGAGCGAAAGCGUGGGUAGCAAACAGGAUUAGAUACCCGAGUAGUC